rnacentral:antisense_RNA from 1 species
UUUGGCGUUCGGUUUGCGGGCGAUAAUGCCGUUACCCACCGCGUGCAGCAGGUGCGUUUUACCUAAACCCGUACCGCCGU